rnacentral:rRNA from 1 species
UACGUAGGGUGCAAGCGUUAAUCGGAAUUACUGGGCGUAAAGCGUGCGCAGGCGGUUGUGCAAGACAGAUGUGAAAUCCCCGGGCUCAACCUGGGAACUGCAUUUAUGACUGCACGGCUGGAGUGCGGCAGAGGGGGAUGGAAUUCCGCGUGUAGCAGUGAAAUGCGUAGAUAUGCGGAGGAACACCGAUGGCGAAGGCAAUCCCCUGGGCCUGCACUGACGCUCAUGCACGAAAGCGUGGGGAGCAAACAGG